CACACUCAAGAAGAGGCACGCCAGAUGGCUCGAGUUCGUGGAGACCUUUCCCUAUGUGAUCAAGUACAAGAAGGGCAAGGACAAUGUGGUGGCCGAUGCACUGUCCCGGAGACACACUCUCAUUGUGACUAUGGAGGCCAAGAUCAUGGGUUUCGAACAUAUUAAAGAAUCUUAUGCCACUGAUCUUGAUUUUAAUGAAGUUUUCAGGAACACUGAGAAGGGGGCUUUUGGUCCAUACUACCAGCAUGAGGGGUUCCUGUUCAAGGGAAAGAGGCUGUGCAUUCCCAAAGGAGCCAUGAGGGAACUGCUGGUUCGGGAGGCCCAUGGUGGCGGACUGUUCAAGGGCAAGAGGCUGUGCAUUCCCAAAGGAGCCAUGAGGGAACUGCUGGUUCGGGAGGCCCAUGGUGGCGGCCUCAUGGGACACUUUGGUCGGGACAAAACCUUGAGUGUCCUAACUGAACAUUUCUUUUGGCCAAACAUGAAGAGGGAUGUGGAGAGCAUAUGCGCCAAGUGCACUACUUGCCUUAAAACCAAGUCCAGGUCACAUCCUUACGGUUUACAAAUGCCAUUACCGAUUCCUAACCACCCUUGGGUAGACAUUUCUAUGGACUUUGUGCUGGGUUUACCCAAGAUAAACCACAAGGAUUCCAUUUUUGUAGUGGUAGACAGGUUCUCCAAGAUGGCCCAUUUCAUAGCCUGUAACACCACUAAUGAUGCCACUCAGACCGCCGAUCUAUUCUUCAAAGAAGUGGUCCGACUACAUGGAGUUCCUCGAACCAUUGUGUCUGACCGUGAUGCCAAGUUCCUCAGCCAUUUCUGGAGGACACUAUGGGGCAAGUUCGGAACCAAGCUACUAUUCUCGACCACUUGCCAUCCCCAGACCGACGGCCAGACUGAGGUAGUAAACCGUACGCUUUCUACAACUGUUGAGAGCUACGAUCGGUAAGAAUUUAAGAAAUUGGUUGUCUUGUUUGCCUUUUGUUGAGUUUGCUUAUAACCAUGCUAGGCACUCUACUACUAACAUGUCACCUUUUGAGAUUGUCUAUGGGUUUCAGCCAGAGACUCCUUUAGACUUCACUGAACUGCCCAGCUCCAUGUACCGCAGUCGUGAUGGAGUCGCCAAGGCAGAGUUUGUUAAGAAUAUGCACCUGAAGGUCAAGGAGAGGAUAGAAGCCAAGGCGGCUAAGGUCAAGGCCAAGUAUGACCAGAAGAGGAAGGAGGUACUGUUCGAACCCGGGGACUUGGUGUGGUUACACAUGCGGCCCGAGAGGUUUCCAGAAGCCCGGAAGUCCAAGCUCUCUCCUCGUGGGACAGGACCAUUCCGCAUCCUAAAGAAGAUCAACGACAAUGCCUAUAUCCUUGACCUCCCAGCUGAAUUUAAAAUUUCACAUACUUUCAAUGUCUCGGAUUUGUCUCCUUUCCAUGCAGAUAGUGAUGACUUUGCAGAUGAUGGUGUUCUGAGGCCAGAACCUCUUCAAGAGGGAGGGAAUGAUGAGGCCAUCCAAGUAGAGGUUCCCAUAGUUAGGCGCGGUCCGACUACCCGGAGUGGAACCAGGGCCUUGCGAGAAGGUUUCACCAAAGCUGUCCAGCAUAUCCUUGAUCAAGAUGGACAGACUGACCAGGACCAGCUGCUGAUUGAGAAGAUGGUCCAGUUGAAGAUUCAAGAUCAAGCCGGCCCAAAGGAGGUUCAGGACGCGGCCGACCCGAUCCAGUUCAGACUUAACCAAGCCGGACUUAUCAUUUACACAUCCGAGCUUGGUCCAGACUCAGUUUCCAUUUCAUCCACUCCAACUCUUCCCGGUUCUGAGAUCUAGCCAACCACCAAGGGGAGUAGCAUGUCCACAUCCGAGCUUGGUCCAGACUCAGUUUCCAUUUCAUCCACUCCAACUCCUCCUGGUUCUGAGAUCUAGCCAACCACCAAGGGGAGUAGCAUGUGUUGUACUCUUUUUCCUCACCAGGUUUUGUCCCAUUGGGUUUUCUUGGUAAGGUUUUAAUGAGGCAACAUGCAAGCAUGCUAUUAGCCUUGGUCUAGGCCUUCUCAAACCGACAACCAGAUGUCUGGUUUAUUUUAAUUUAUUUGGUUAAGACUUUGGGCUAAUGUUUCAGCCUCAUUUUCGGCCAGCUUGUUUAAGGCCUUUUAUCUUUGAGUCUCAUAAGGGAUAAACCCUAUAUAACUCCACUAAGUUGGCGAUUUUUGCCCAAGUCUUUAUGAAAUAAUUUUUGCCUUUGCAAACCUAAAACCCUAAGUCUUUUUCUGUGAGAAAUAAGAGAGAGCAGCCGAAUCUUAUCAAGCUUCAAACCACCAAGCUCGUGGCGAUUCUUCACCUCCAUUCCAUCCAUCGAUUUGCCUUGAGAGUGAUACACAUCCAGCAAGCCAAGUCCCAUAGCUAUCCACCUCCAUCCACUGUUCUUGUUGAGAGAGAUACACAUCCAGCAACAAGGAUCCAUCCCCCAUACUUCUAUCCUUCUUCAUUAAUCAUAUUGUUUACUUUCUGAUCAUUAUUUUGAUUCAUAAAAACUCAUAAAAAUAGCAUCCUUUUGUUUCAGGAACCAGAUCGGCCAUCUCCCACUCCAUCGCGUCCGUCUAGCCGUCCCAUAGCCGUCCGUCCGUCCUGUCCGGUCCGAGUUCUCGAACCUUAGACCGUCCGUCCGUGCAGUCUGAUUCUUGGCCUGUAUCAUUUUGGUAUCAGAGCUCAAAGCUCCUACACCUUCGGUUGUAUCCUAUCCUUGCUACUUUUGUUAUUUGUUUGGUUCUUCAACUUGUUUUCUUUCCUGCAUACCUUUUGAUCCGUUUUUGUGCAUCUUUCAUUCUAGUAUUAUGUUUUUAGCAUCCAUCGAUUUUCACUUUCCUUUUUGAUCGGAUUUCCCAUUUAAUUGCAUUUAAUUUUCUUGGCUUGCACUUCAAGUUUUUCCAUAUUUAAAAAAAAAAAGAAAAGAAAGAUUGCAUUUUCCUAUUUUUACUUUUCGAUUUUUAACAAAAAAAAAAAGGAAAACUUACAUUCAUUGCAUAUCAUAGUUAAAUAUCUUUAUUCUUCUUCUACAUAUUCUUUGCAAAUCACCCUUUUCUUUCUCUCUUGUCGCAGGACAAAACCAUGGGAGACCUAAAUGGUGCACCAACACAAGCCGAGAUCAAUGCUCAGCUGAUGGCUAACCAUGCUGAACUCCAAGCCGCCCUAGCUACUGUGACUGAGCAGCUGGCUCAGAUAGCAGGAAGGGAUAGAGCUAAUGUUCCACGGCCAAGGAGGAGAAACCAACCCAUUCCGGAAGAACAACAGUCCCAAUCCAGUGAGGACAACUCGGACACUGACCGUACCGAACCAGAAGAGCCGCGGCAUGAACGAGCCGGACGUGGGAAGUACCAAACCAGAAGAGCUGCGGCGUGAACGAGCCGGACGUGGGAACCGACGGGAGUAUCUGGUCCAAGGCGAUGCAAGCCCGGUCCAAAGGAGAUUCAGAGACGAUGAAGUAGCUUGGCAGGGAGGCAAGGAUCUCAAACUUACUCCUCCAACCUUUGCUGGAAAGGUUGACCCGGAUGCCUACAUCGAAUGGGAGAGGCGCAUGGAGUACAUCUUUGAGUACUACCGCUAUACCGAGGCCAAGAAGAUCGCUUUAGCCGCAGCCCAACUGACGGACAAUGCCCUAACCUGGUGGGACAGGGAAGUAGCCGAGGUUGGCAGAGUCUAUAGGAUCGAGACUUGGGAUGAGAUGCGCGCUAAGCUCCGUGCAAGGUAUAUUCCCUCAUACUAUCAGCGGGACUUACUAAAACGUUUUCGCAAGUUGUCUCAGGGUACUAGGUCCGUAGAGGAGUACUUUGAGGAGUUUGAGGCUCUCAAGAACAAGCUCAGGACGCGCGAGACCGAAGAGGUUAUGAUGGCUCAGUUCCUAGAAGGCCUUCAAGACCGUAUCGCUCGCAAGGUGGAGAGGCAGACCUACGUCAACUUCAAUGAUCUCCUCCACUAUGCCAUACAGGCCGAGCAGCACAUUAAAAGGAAGAACGCCUCUAGUGCCAGGAACAAGACGCCAUGGGCUUCAUCCGGAUCCAAGGGGGCUGAGAAGAACAAAUCCAUUGAAGUGGAAAACCUGUUCAAGAAGAGCCAAACCGACCAGUCCAAACCAGGUUCAUCCGAACCAGGUAAGGGACAAACACAAGCUCAAAGAACUCGUGAUAUUACUUGUUUCAAAUGUCAGGGGAAGGGGCACUACGCCAGGGACUGUCCGAACAAGCGUGUCAUGAUCCUUAAGGCAGACGGCGAGUAUGAGUCCCAAGACGAGGCCGAUGUAGAGAUGGCUGACUCAGGAGACGAGAUAGUGGACUAUGCUGAAACUGGUGAGCUACUGGUGGUCAGACGAGCUCUCAGUGCUCUCUUUGAUCCAGAAACCGUCCAACGAGAGAACAUCUUCCAUACUAGAUGUAGCGUGGAAGGCAAGGUAUGUAGUCUAAUUAUUGAUGGUGGCUCUUGCACUAACGUGGCCAGCAGGUACCUUGUUGAGAAGUUAGGACUAGCAAAGUUGCCACACCCCAGGCCAUACAAGCUCAAGUGGCUCAAUGAUGAGACGGAGCUUAAAAUCUCGGAGCAAGUUGUUGUUUCCUUUUGUAUUGGUAAGUACCAGGACCAGGUGAAGUGUGAUGUGGUUUUUAUGCAAGCCGGUCAUCUACUGUUAGGGAGGCCUUGGCAGUUUGACAAGGAGACUAUUCACCAUGGGAGGACUAACAUCUACAGCUUUACCCACAACAACAAGAAGCACAACCUGGAUCCUCUCAGUCCACAAGAGGUGUACGAGAUGCAGAGGGCCAUGGAUCAGUCUGGAUUGUUUAGUAAAACUAACCUUUACAUCUCUUCUAGUAAAUUGAUUAAAUCAUUGCAGCAAGACACACAGGUGCUACUAAUGGUUUUCAAGGAAGGUUGUUUUGCAGGUUUUGAGGCACCAGAUUGUCCAGCUGAGAUGCAAGGACUAAUGGACCAGUACAAGGACGUGUUCCCUGAAGAGAUACCAGCCGGCCUACCACCCCUCCGAGGCAUCGAACAUCAGAUAGACUUUGUGCCAGGCGCCCCACUUCCAAACCGGGCCGCAUACCGAGUCAAUCCGGAGGAGGCUAAGGAGCUGGAGAGACAGGUCCAAGACCUCAUGGACAAGGGAUACAUUCGGGAGAGUCUCAGCCCAUGUGCAGUACCCGUCCUAUUGGUGCCUAAGAAGGAUGGAACAUGGCGUAUGUGUGUUGAUUGCCGAGCCAUCAACAACAUCACCAUAAAAUAUCGGUACCCCAUUCCUAGACUUGAUGAUAUGUUAGAUGAACUGAGUGGUUCCACUGUGUUUUCCAAUAUUGAUCUUAGGAGUGGCUAUCACCAAGUUCGGAUGAAGGAGGGAGACGAGUGGAAGACUGCUUUCAAGACCAAGCAAGGCUUGUAUGAGUGGCUGGUGAUGCCCUUUGGUCUUACCAACGCCCCUAGUACCUUCAUGAGGCUUAUGAACGAGAUUCUAAGGCCUUACAUUGGUAAAUUUGUGGUUGUCUAUUUUGAUGACAUAUUGAUUUAUAGUCAGUGCUUAUCCGAUCACAUUAGCCAUGUAGAACAGGUUUUGAAGGCUCUCAGGCAGGAAGGACUCUUUGCCAAUCUCAAGAAGUGUGUAUUUUGCACUGACCAGUUAAUAUUUUUAGGCUUUGUUGUGAGCUCACAGGGUUUGAAGGUCGAUGAGGAGAAGAUCAAGGCCAUCCAAGACUGGCCCACACCGACCACUAUUGGGCAAGUCCGAAGUUUCCAUGGCCUAGCCAGCUUCUAUAGGCAGUUUGUCAAGGACUUCAGCACCAUUGCUGCACCCAUGACCUCAGUGAUCAAGAAGAAUGUAUCCUUUGUUUGGGGCCCUGCCCAAGAGGAGUCUUUCAACAAGCUUAAAUAUAGUUUAACUCAUGCACCCGUUCUUACACUCCCUGAUUUUAAUAAAACCUUUGAGAUUGAGUGUGAUGCAUCAGGUACAGGCAUUGGAGCUGUCCUCACUCAAGGGGGCCGACCGGUGGCAUUCUUUAGUGAGAAACUUAGUGGAGCUGCCCUCAACUACCCAACCUAUGACAAAGAGCUAUACGCUCUAGUAAGGUCCCUUGAAACUUGGCAGCAUUACCUUUUGUCUAAGGAAUUUGUUAUUCAUACAGAUCAUGAGACACUUAAGCACUUGAGGGGACAGACCACACUCAAGAAGAGGCACGCCAGAUGGCUCGAGUUCGUGGAGACCUUUCCCUAUGUGAUCAAGUACAAGAAGGGCAAGGACAAUGUGGUGGCCGAUGCACUGUCCCGGAGACACACUCUCAUUGUGACUAUGGAGGCCAAGAUCAUGGGUUUCGAACAUAUUAAAGAAUCUUAUGCCACUGAUCUUGAUUUUAAUGAAGUUUUCAGGAACACUGAGAAGGG
rnacentral:lncRNA from 1 species